UCCCUGGUGGUCCAGUGGUGAGGACUCCCACACUUCCAAUACAGGAGGCCCAGGUUUGAUCCCUGGUCAGGGAA